rnacentral:tRNA from 2 species
GGAGAGGUACCGAAGUGGCCAAACGGGGCAGACUGUAAAUCUGCUGGCUAUUGCCUUCGGAGGUUCGAAUCCUCCCCUCUCCACCA